rnacentral:rRNA from 1 species
AACGAACGCUGGCGGCAUGCCUAACACAUGCAAGUCGAACGAGACCUUCGGGUCUAGUGGCGCACGGGUGCGUAACGCGUGGGAACCUGCACUUAGGUUCGGAAUAACUCCCCGAAAGGGGUGCUAAUACCGGAUAAUGUCUUCGGACCAAAGAUUUAUCGCCUUUGGAUGGGCCCGCGUUGGAUUAGCUAGUUGGUAGGGUAAAAGCCUACCAAGGCGACGAUCCAUAGCUGGUCUGAGAGGAUGAUCAGCCACACUGGGACUGAGACACGGCCCAGACUCCUACGGGAGGCAGCAGUGGGGAAUAUUGGACAAUGGGCGAAAGCCUGAUCCAGCAAUGCCGGGUGAGUGAUGAAGGCCUUAGGGUUGUAAAGCUCUUUUACCCGGGAUGAUAAUGACAGUACCGGGAGAAUAAGCUCCGGCUAACUACGUG